UCCCAGCUCAUGGUGGGUCCCUUUUAAGUCCCAGCUCAUGGUGGGUCCCUUUUAAGUCCCAGCUCAUGGUGGGUCCCUUUUAGGUCCCAGCUCAUGGUGGGUCCCUUUUAGCUCCCAGCUCAUGGUGAGUGUCUUUUAGCUCCCAGCUCAUGGUGAGUGUCUUUUAGGUCCCAGCUCAUGGUGGGUCCCAGCUCAUGGUGGGUCCCUUUUAGGUCCCAGCUCAUGGUGGGUCCCUUUUAGCUCCCAGCUCAUGGUGAGUGUCUUUUAGCUCCCAGCUCAUGGUGAGUGUCUUUUAGGUCCCAGCUCAUGGUGGGUCCCAGCUCAUGGUGGGUCCCUUUUAGGUCCCAGCUCAUGGUGAGUGUCUUUUAGGUUCCAGCUCUUGGUGGGUCCCAGCUCAUGGUGAGUGUCUUUUAGGUCCCAGCUCAUGGUGGGUCCCUUUUUAGGUCCCAGCUCAUGGUGGGUGUCUUUUAGAUCCCAGCUCAUGGUGGGUCCCUUUUAGGUCCCAGCUGUUGUUGCUAGUCAACUUACAGUGGACAC